rnacentral:rRNA from 1 species
AUUGAACGCUGGCGGCAGGCCUAACACAUGCAAGUCGAGCGGAGCGGCGGACGGGUGAGUAAUGCCUAGGAAUCUGCCUGGUAGUGGGGGAUAACUACCGGAAACGGGCGCUAAUACCGCAUACUAUCAGAUGAGCCUAGGUCGGAUUAGCUAGUUGGUGGGGUAAAGGCCUACAAAGGCGACGAUCCGUAGCUGGUCUGAGAGGAAGAUCAGUCACAUGGGCACGGAGACACGGUCCAGACGCCUACGGGAGGCAGCAGUGGGGAAUAUGGGACAAUGGGCGAAACCCUGAGCCAGCCAUUCCGCGUGUGUGAAGAAGGCCUUCGGGUUGUAAAGCACUUUAAGUUGGGAGGCGGUACCAACAGAAGAAGCACCGGCUAACUUCGUGCCAGCAGCCGCGGUAAUUC